rnacentral:rRNA from 1 species
AGUGAGUAGCUUGCUAUGAGCUGUUUUAGCGGCGGACGGGUGAGUAACGCGUGAGCAACCUUUCCCAGACAGGGGAAUAACACACCGAAAGGUGUACUAAUACCGCAUAAGACCACGGUUUCACAUGGAACUGAGGUAAAAGAUUUAUCGGUUUGGGGUGGGCUCGCGUCCGAUUAGGUAGUUGGUGAGGUAACGGCCCACCAAGCCGACGAUCGGUAGCCGACCUGAGAGGGUGAUCGGCCACAUUGGGACUGAGACACGGCCCAAACUCCUACGGGAGGCAGCAGUGGGGAAUAUUGGGCAAUGGGGGGAACCCUGACCCAGCAACGCCGCGUGGAGGAAGAAGGUUUUCGGAUCGUAAACUCCUGUCCUUGGAGACGAGUAGAAGACGGUAUCCAAGGAGGAAGCCCCGGCUAACUACGUGCCAGCAGCCGCGGUAAUACGUAGGGGGCAAGCGUUGUCCGGAAUAAUUGGGCGUAAAGGGCGCGUAGGCGGCUCGGUAAGUCUGGAGUGAAAGUCCUGCUUUUAAGGUGGGAAUUGCUUUGGAUACUGUCGGGCUUGAGUGCAGGAGAGGUUAGUGGAAUUCCCGGUGUAGCGGUGAAAUGCGUAGAGAUUGGGAGGAACACCAGUGGCGAAGGCGACUAACUGGACUGUAACUGACGCUGAGGCGCGAAAGUGUGGGGAGCAAACAGGAUUAGAUACCCUGGUAGUCCACACUGUAAACGAUGAAUGCUAGGUGUAGGGGGUAUCGACCCCUUCUGUGCC